GUAGGUGGCAAGCGUUGUCCGGAAUUAUUGGGCGUAAAGCGCGCGCAGGCGGUUCUUUAAGUCUGAUGUGAAAGCCCACGGCUCAACCGUGGAGGGUCAUUGGAAACUGGAGAACUGGAGUACAGAAGAGGAAAGCGGAAUUCCACGUGUAGCGGUGAAAUGCGUAGAGAUGUGGAGGAACACCAGUGGCGAAGGCGGCUUUCUGGUCUGUAACCGACGCUGAGGCGCGAAAGCGUGGGGAGCAAACAGGGAUUAGAUACCCUGGUAGUCCACGCCGUAAACGAUGAGUGCUAAGUGUUAGGGGGGUUUCCGCCCCCUUAGUGCUGCAGCUAACGCAUUAAGCACUCCGCCUGGGGAUACGGCCGCAAGGCUG
rnacentral:rRNA from 1 species